rnacentral:rRNA from 1 species
UACGGAGGGAGCUAGCGUUGUUCGGAAUUACUGGGCGUAAAGCGCACGUAGGCGGCUUUGUAAGUUAGAGGUGAAAGCCCAGUGCUCAACACUGGAACUGCCUUUAAAACUGCAUCGCUUGAAUCCAGGAGAGGUGAGUGGAAUUCCGAGUGUAGAGGUGAAAUUCGUAGAUAUUCGGAAGAACACCAGUGGCGAAGGCGGCUCACUGGACUGGUAUUGACGCUGAGGUGCGAAAGCGUGGGGAGCAAACAGG